UACGGAAGGCAGCAGUGGGGAAUAUUGGCACAAGUGGGACGAAACGCCUGACUGCCAGCUACUGCCGCGUGUAUGAAGAAGGUCCCGUUAGGGUUAGUAAGUACUUUUCAUCGGGGAGGAAAAACAAAACUAAUAAUUUAUUUCUUGAGUUACCCGAAAAAGAAGCACCGGCUAACUCCGUGCCAGCAGCCGCGGUAAUACGGAGGGGUGCUAGCGUUAAGUCAGAAGUUACUUAGGGCGUAAAGAGCGACUAGGGGUUUUUUUUAAAGUCUAAAGGAUAGUCGAAAAUCCCCUUAGGGGUCUUAAACCUUGGAACUUAAGCAUUUUGAAACUGAAAUACUGAAGUAUCGUAGAGGGAAGUGAAUCUAGUGUAGACGGUGAAAAUGCGUAGGAUAUCUGG
rnacentral:rRNA from 1 species